AGUUCAGUGUUAGAAGCGUCCCUGCUGAAGGUGAAACAAGAUAUACAACAACUAAACAAGAAAGUUGCUGAACAGAAGUUCUACAUUGCUAAACUAGAAAGUUCGCUGCAUCUUCAAAGUUUGAGGACAUCGCAGUACUCCUCUCGAAUGUCUCCUGCUGGUGUAAACCCCAUGUCAACACCUUUAGGUAAUCAGAUGCCUUUUUCCUCACUGAAACUCUCACGGCCAUCAUCUUCUGA